rnacentral:lncRNA from 1 species
UCUUUCUGGCACUUGCAGAAGAUAAUUGCCUUGAAACAGAGCUUUUCCCAUCCUGGUGACAUCUGCUUGCCAAAGUUGAGCAGGUGGGGGUUGAUCAUUGAAAAAGAAAACACUAUUAUACGCUAUGGAACUGGACUGAGGGCUUGCAGUGACAGCCAUCACGCCCAGAGGAUGCUCAGCCUAUUUGUCAAGUUCAAGUGGAUGGCGCAUGUGUGGAAGAAGGGAAGGAAGUGGAUGGAGAAAUGGGCUGCAGAAGCUGGGACCCAGCCAAAACCAGUCUAGCGUGGCAGCUCAUCUGACCUAAGAUAAGCCCUGAACAAGCAUUUGUUGAAUAAAUGAAGGAUGGAAGGAAAUGAAGAAAAAAAAAGAAGGUAAAAAGGAAGAGAGGGAAGGAGAAACAGAAGGGAAAAGAAGGAAGGGAAAGAAAACAUGAAUGGGAGGAGAGAG